rnacentral:rRNA from 1 species
ACGCUCGACACCUACGGGAGGCAGCAGUUGGGAAUAUUGGACAAUGGAGGAAACUCUGAUCCAGUGACGCCGCGUGAAGGAAGAAGGUCUUCGGAUUGUAAACUUUAUUUUGUCAGGGAAGAAAAAAUGACUGUACCUGAAGAAAAGCACCGGCUAACUACGUGCCAACAGCCGCGGUAAUCUGAGCGGCUGGACAACGGC